rnacentral:tRNA from 1 species
AAAAAGCUAGUUAACAAUUAUAACAUAAAACUGUCAGUUUUAAAUUAUCUCCACUCCGAUGCUUUUUA